rnacentral:rRNA from 1 species
UGUUGGGUAGGGGAGCGUUCUGUAAGCCUGUGAAGGUGGCCUGUGAGGGUUGCUGGAGGUAUCAGAAGUGCGAAUGCUGACAUAAGUAACGAUAAAGCGGGUGAAAAGCCCGCUCGCCGGAAGACCAAGGGUUCCUGUCCAACGUUAAUCGGGGCAGGGUGAGUCGACCCCUAAGGCGAGGCCGAAAGGCGUAGUCGAUGGGAAACGGGUUAAUAUUCCCGUACUUGGUGUUACUGCGAAGGGGGGACGGAGAAGGCUAUGUUGGCCGGGCGACGGUUGUCCCGGUUUAAGCGUGUAGGUGUGUGUUCCAGGUAAAUCCGGUUCACUUUAACACUGAGGCGUGAUGACGAGGCACUACGGUGCUGAAGCAACAAAUGCCCUGCUUCCAGGAAAAGCCUCUAAGCAUCAGGUAACAUCAAAUCGUACCCCAAACCGACACAGGUGGUCAGGUAGAGAAUACCAAGGCGCUUGAGAGAACUCGGGUGAAGGAACUAGGCAAAAUGGUGCCGUAACUUCGGGAGAAGGCACGCUGACACGUAGGUGAAGUGAUUUACUCAUGGAGCUGAAGUCAGUCGAAGAUACCAGCUGGCUGCAACUGUUUAUUAAAAACACAGCACUGUGCAAACACGAAAGUGGACGUAUACGGUGUGACGCCUGCCCGGUGCCGGAAGGUUAAUUGAUGGGGUCAGCGCAAGCGAAGCUCCUGAUCGAAGCCCCGGUAAACGGCGGCCGUAACUAUAACGGUCCUAAGGUAGCGAAAUUCCUUGUCGGGUAAGUUCCGACCUGCACGAAUGGCGUAAUGAUGGCCAGGCUGUCUCCACCCGAGACUCAGUGAAAUUGAACUCGCUGUGAAGAUGCAGUGUACCCGCGGCAAGACGGAAAGACCCCGUGAACCUUUACUAUAGCUUGACACUGAACAUUGAGCCUUGAUGUGUAGGAUAGGUGGGAGGCUUUGAAGUGUGGACGCCAGUCUGCAUGGAGCCGGCCUUGAAAUACCACCCUUUAAUGUUUGAUGUUCUAACGUGGACCCGUGAUCCGGGUUGCGGACAGUGUCUGGUGGGUAGUUUGACUGGGGCGGUCUCCUCCUAAAGAGUAACGGAGGAGCACGAAGGUUGGCUAAUCCUGGUCGGACAUCAGGAGGUUAGUGCAAUGGCAUAAGCCAGCUUGACUGCGAGCGUGACGGCGCGAGCAGGUGCGAAAGCAGGUCAUAGUGAUCCGGUGGUUCUGAAUGGAAGGGCCAUCGCUCAACGGAUAAAAGGUACUCCGGGGAUAACAGGCUGAUACCGCCCAAGAGUUCAUAUCGACGGCGGUGUUUGGCACCUCGAUGUCGGCUCAUCACAUCCUGGGGCUGAAGUAGGUCCCAAGGGUAUGGCUGUUCGCCAUUUAAAGUGGUACGCGAGCUGGGUUUAGAACGUCGUGAGACAGUUCGGUCCCUAUCUGCCGUGGGCGCUGGAGAACUGAGGGGGGCUGCUCCUAGUACGAGAGGACCGGAGUGGACGCAUCACUGGUGUUCGGGUUGUCAUGCCAAUGGCACUGCCCGGUAGCUAAAUGCGGAAGAGAUAAGUGCUGAAAGCAUCUAAGCACGAAACUUGCCCCGAGAUGAGUUCUCCCUGAGACUUUAGGUCUCCUGAAGGAACGUUGAAGACGACGACGUUGAUAGGCCGGGUGUGUAAGCGCAGCGAUGCGUUGAGCUAACCGGUACUAAUGAACCGUGAGGCUUAACCUUACA